rnacentral:rRNA from 1 species
UACGUAGGGCGCAAGCGUUGUCCGGAAUUAUUGGGCGUAAAGAGCUCGUAGGUGGCUUGUUGCGUCUGCCGUGAAAUCCCUGGGCUCAACCCAGGAACUGCGUCCGAUACUGGUUGGCUUGAAUCCGGGAGAGGGACGUGGAAUUCCAGGUGUAGCGGUGAAAUGCGUAGAUAUCUGGAGGAACACCGGUGGCGAAGGCGACGUCCUGGACCGGCAUUGACGCUGAGGCGCGAAAGCCAGGGGAGCAAACGGG